UUUGAUUCCCACCCAAGCUCAACCUUUCUAGUUUUGACAAAUUGCCUAGAGUAGAUGGGAUAACACCAAUGAAGUUGUUAAGGUAUAGAGACAAUGUUUGAAGUUUACUGAAGCAACCAAACCAUAAUGGGAUUUCUCCAUUGAAGCUAUUGUUACCAAAGUCCAAAUAUUUCAUCCGACGCAAAUUAGUUAACUCAAUGGGUAAAGAGCCUAGGAAACUAUUUUGAUGAAUAUCGAGCCAAGCAAGGAAAGAUAGAUUUCCCAAUUGAGAAGAAAUGGUGCCUGUGAGAUCCAUGCUUGACAAAUUCAGAGCAGUGACCCUAUAGUGUUUAGAUCCACAUGUGACACCAAUCCAGCUACAAAAAGAGGUAGAAGUAGACCAAUUGGUUGUCAAGAAAUUGUGAGGAUCAUGAGUUAUAUGAGAUUUGAGUGCUAGAAGAGCAGAUUGAUCAACGGUGAUGCUAGAAUAUUUUGCAGACAAAAUAACCCCAAAGGUUGCAAAUAGCAGCCCAAACAUAAACGGAGGGAGGAAGCUUGGUUUUUCCAUAAGGUUGGAUAUGGGUGUAAGGCGCAUCAUAAGGAGAGAAACAACCGAGUUUAAUACUUUCCUAAUGUUAGUUCAAUACUUCGUAAGUUUAUAGUAAUUCCAACUGCGAGAUGAUCACAAAUUCCAAUUGGCAAUUGGAAAAUGAGAGAGAUGUUUAUGUUUUUUUUCAUUUUCAAAUAUAAUAAAGGCGAUUGACGGAAGGGAAAACUUUCUCCUUGGUUUAAAAGUCCAGAUAUCAAUUACAAGACAUAAAAAACAAAGACAAGUAUUGGGGGCCAGCAGAUUGAAACUAUUUGAUUUAGUCUAAUUAUUACAACAUGUUUGAUUGAAACUAUUUUGUAAUCUCUGAUUAAAUAAAUAUUGAGAGGAAAAGACUUAAAUUUUCUCUUUUUCCUUAGCUAUAAAAUUGAAUUUCUAGUUUGGAUUACAUGCCUGUGGUUCUCAUCUCUAGUUAUGUAAGGCUGAGUCGCUGUUAGUUGGAUGGACCUACAUUGAAAACAUGAAUUGAAAAGAUAAGUAAUAGAAACUUUGUCAUAUUUAGACAAAUAUCAACCACAUCUUUAUUAACUUUUUACAUUUCUUAUCCCAAUAUUCAAAACCAAACAAUAAUACAUUCAUUGCAUGUUCCUUUUCUCAAAUAUCAUUUUAUUUAAUGUCAUUAGAGAUUACUCUAUUCUUUUUUCUUUGUGAUAAAAAUUAUUAAACAAAAAAUUAUUACAAAUGUUGUAGGAAUCUAUCCUUUGAGAUUGUUUGAUUCUAGUUUUUGACAAAUUGCUCAAAGUUGAUGGGAUAAAACAAGUGAGUUUGAUGGUGUUCGGAAACAAGCUUCGAUGUUUAGUGAGAUCAAAAUUUGUUGGCAAAUUAAAUUACUCAAUGGGUAAAUAUCCAUGGAAGUUAUUGUCCUAGAGUGGGGCUGGACUUGGAUGGUGUCUGCGAGACUCAUUUUUAUCAAAUUCAAAGUGGCAGUAAUAUCGAUUAAAUUACAACUAGAAAUAAAAACAGAUCAGUUGAUUUGGUUGCGAAGAGGUUUCGAGGGUCAUGCUUUUUCCCUAUCAUCCCAAGUACUACUAAGUCAGUACCCCUCUAAAUGGGGAGAACUUUGUUGAUGUUUCAUUGGUUUAAAAGUCCAAAUACCAAUUGUAAGGCAUCAAAACAACAAAGACAAGUACUGGGGACCAGCUGAAGAGAGUGAGUGACAUGGUUUGAUUUAGAGUCUCAUGAUUGCAACAUGUUUGAUCGUGAUAUGAUUGUAAUGUCUAACAAAAUAUAUACCAAGAUGGAAAGACCUUUUUUUCUAUAAAAUCUAAAUUUCUAGUUUUGAAGACAUGCCUUUGGUUCUCAUCUCUUACUUGUUCUGCACGGCUAAGUCGCAGUUGCUUCGAUGGGCCCAUGUUGGAAACAUGAAUUGAAAAGAAUGCCAACAAGUAAUAGAAACUUUGUAAUAUUCAGAUAGAUCAAAUUAAGCUUUGUGUGGACCAUUCUCAAAUAAUUACAUUGGCAAUCCUGAAUUUAACAAUCUAACCAUUGAAUUUAACAAUAUAAUUAUAGUUGCCUUGCAUUUAAAAUUUUGAAUUAAUCUAAUACCUCUAUCAUUUCAGUCCAAAACUUUGUUUAUUUCAUAUAUAUUAUAUAAAGCAAAGUUUAUAAGUGUUUUUGAAUGUAACUAAGUAAGCAUGUUUCUUCUACCGCGAGUCAAAAGUUUGCAGCAAUUUUAGCCAUUUCGUACACUAUAUAUCAUUAUAUUGUUGCCUUAAUUAAAGCAGAAUAAUAUAUAUUUCCAUAAGUUUUUAAAAAUAUCAUAAAUUUCCAUUGGGAAUUUUGUUGGUGUAUUCUAAAUUACAUAAUAAUCAGAAAUAUGAAAGAUUUCCAUAUGUUCUCGCCUUUUAGUAUAAGUAAUAAUAAAAUUUUUUAUUGAUUCACCUUUACUACGAAAAUAAAAAUAAAAAAUUACAAAAUUAGUACCGUAAAUCAAUUUUGGUUUAAAAUUUUAAACCUACAUAUUAAAGAUCUCCUAACAAUUUUACUUUAUAAGAGCACAGUUUAUGGAAUAAUUUUUAUAUCCAAUCAAAGGCUUUUCAUUCUUAUAAAUAUCGGAAAUUAUAAAGCUAAUCUUUAUGUAGAAAAUCUGAUAGGUAAGUAGCAUAGCAUCCAUCUAAUAGAUUAAGAAAUCUGUAGUCUAAUAAAUUAUAAUCUUCUUUGAUCUCGUUUGCAUAACAUCCAUCUAAUUUUGAGAAAUCUUCUCUUUUAAUUUCAAAAUUGUAAUUAAAUUGUUUUAUCCAAUUAAAUAAUAAUAAUAUAUGGCUAUGGUGAUGUCUAUAAUUUCAUAAAAUAAUUACUCUAAUCUAAUCCAUGUCUCUUCCUUUCUGGUUUAUCAAGCAAUAAAUUCCCUUCGAUUUCACCUAACUUGUUAUAAUAAUGUUUUUUUAAAUUAGUUAAAGAAGAAAAUUUGUGAUGUUAUACUUAAAUUGAAUCUUUCGAUUUAAUAGGAAUUGAUUUUAAAUUAGAAAGAUCAAAAUUUAAGUAGAAUCACUUAGGGAUGCCAGUGGGGCAAGUUUUGCGGGUCCCGCCCUACUUUGUGCUCAAUUGACAGUGAGAUGAGGACAAAAAUUAAACCCGUUGUGAGUGGUGGGGUAGGCGUGGGUAUGACCUUGUACCUACCUCAUCCCCACCUACCCCAUCCCAUCCCGCAUAAUAUAAUAAGCAUAUUUAAAAAAUAAACAUUUAUAAAAAAAUAAUUUAAUAAUUAUUUUAAUAGUAUUUAAUUUUUGCUCUUGUGUUGCAUUUGAAGAUAUUUAUGAUGUAUUUGAGAUAUUGUUUAUAUUUUGAUAUUAUGUAAUGACUUUAUUUUUUUGAAUUUUUAAACUUGAAAUUAUAUCUUAUUUAUCAAUUAAAGGUCGUAACGACUUACCUUUUUUUUUAAAUAGUGACAGUUAAAAUAAUGUCACAUAUGUGGUGGGAGUUUGGAGGAUAAAUAUUUUAUACUUUUGUCACAAAAAGUUUGUUUAUUUUAUUUAACUGAUACUUAUAAAUAUAUUAUACGAAGUGGGUCAUAAGGCAAGUAUAGUGGGGAUUAGGUGGGUUUGAGACCCACAUGGGUGGUAGGGAGAGGAUGAAUUUGAGUUUUGUACCCGUAACGGGUCACAGGACAGAGAUGGGAUGAAAAUUCUUGGUGGGGAUGGGGAUGAAAACGGUGUAAGUCAAAGUCUGUGUAAUUUGUAGUAAUGCAUACCAAGAAGGAAUCUUCUACCCUCUCUCUUUCUAUUUCUGUGUAUUGUUUGUUUGGAUGUGUUUUGUCUUGUGUUGAUCUGAAUUGUUUUGUUCCAGUGAUGUUAAGCCUUUGACAAGUAAUACGAGUAAUAUUGGGCUCCAACCACAAUACACAGUAAAGAAUGAAAGCCAGAAAAAUGCAAGACUGCAUGUCUACACCAUUACUUAUUUUUUUCUUUGUGAUAAAAUUUAUUAACAACAAAUGCUAUGCUUGUUUUAUGGAUAAAGUAAUGUUUAUUUAAUAUAUCCCCAACAAUAUCAGUCUGAUUUACUGAAAAAUAUAUAUAUCCACAACAAUGAAUUAAUUUCCAGUUAUACGUCUCAUCUAAUAAUAAUAUUUUCACUAUUACCAAAUAUUUUCUCUUUUAAUAAUUGUUUAGAAAAUGGCUUUCAAGAUGAAUUUAGACAAAUAGUUUAGUAGUAGAUUAAAUUCUUUGGAUAUAUUAACCAAAUCCACACCAGCAAAUUUUACCUAUGAUGGAUUCAAUUGAACAUAUAAAAUAAUAACUUGUUAGAAGGGUUGAUUAAUUGGAAGGCAUAGAAUGGGUUAAUCAAUUAGAAAACUAGAAUUUAUAAAACUUAAGGAUAUAAUUUUAUAUUGGAAUUGUUCAGUGGGAUGAAGAAUAAAUUUCAAGUAGCAAAAGGAUGGAGCCAUCUCUCUCCCUUCCAUAUUAAGUCUUUUGCAAAUCUUCAAGAAUAGGCUGAUGUACAAUUAUUUUACUUUGAAUGCAUGAGUCUAUGGUAAGGAAGGGGUCCCAGCAGUAAGGUAAAAUGGUAAGUGUUGAAACAGAAAAUAAAAGAAAUGUAACCGCUGUGGGUCUUAUGGAAUUAGUAUGAUUUAACGAUGACGGGGUCUUAUGGUGCUUUGGAAUCAUCGUUUUUUUUAAGAUGAUUUGAUUUGGUGAAAGGGAGAGGGCCCGAUGUGGGUAUUUGGUUGCAUAUUUAUUGUUGUACAAAAAUCUUGCUAGUUGGAGGAUCAACUUUCCUUUUAAUUUUAAUAAAAAUUAUAUAUGAACUUGUGAACUUGUAUUCAAAUUGAAUCUUUCCAUUGAGUCGCUCUUGCAAGUCAAUGCAGCAAUCAUGAACCAUAUUAUUAAUACCCAGCUAAGAUCGUGGACGUUUUCUACUCUAUAUCUUUCUCCUAAAUGCUUCAUUCCAGUGAAAAGUGCUGCAAUUCCUACGGGAAUGGCACCUUUGCCAAUAAUUACAUGGAAAUACUCCCAAAUUAAUUAAUCUCUUUGUGGAAGCGUCCUCCCCAUUAGCAGGUUUCUCCGGUCUGAGAUAUGCAUUCAUUGGUUGCACAGAGGCAGAAACUAUGGCAACAAUACCAAGCUGAACAUGUAACGAGCUGACAUAGAAACCCCGAAGUUCGGCAACUGCAAAAAGAACACCAAGUAUAAUAAUUGCUAAUCCUGAAUAUUGUAGGUAAAUAUGAAUUUGGUACCAUCCAUCACCCUUUACAUGUUUUAGGUAUCUAGCAGCCAAUAUUCCACCAGGAAUCAAAAUACCCCAGGAGAGGAACAGCAUAAACCCAUGUACAGCUUUGACAGGUUGUAAACCUUGCUCAGCCUCGGAAGAACCACGGAUAAGCAGCACUUGCACUGACAGUAUGCAUGUUUUUCUCACUGAGAUGUUCAUCAGUCCACUUUGAACCCAUUGCCCAUAUGACUUUAAGAGGAGUUGUAGGAUGAACAAUGUUCUUGCACUCUGGCUUAUCAUUUUGAUUGCAUGAUGGUUUUAAUGGACGUGUGAAUUCCAAAGUAAUGAUGCCAUCUUCUGACCUGCACCUGACGUGUGUCAGAUUCUCAUUUGUUGGAUGGAUGUUCAAGGGAUACUUUCCAUCAAUGCAAUAUGUAUUUAAAUGCCAUUUUCCAGUAUCACCAAUCCAGCCCACAUAUGCAUAGCUAUUCACCAUCCCAUUACCGAAACCUAUUGCAAGAUAGCCACUCUUAUUCACACCAAGGGCAGCAAUAGUUAUUGAAUCUUCUGAUAACGUCCAAAAGAAAGUAACUUGAUCAUCUAAAUGCACACUAGUGUUAUACAUAUCAGACAGGGCACCAUCAAAAUCUUGAACUUUCCAUCCCAUCUUCUCUUGGUACAAGGAUUGAUAAUACACUUGAUCGGGGGUAUUCCUAUCAGGAACCGAAAUCAAUUCGUGAGGAUUUGCUACAACUCCUUCCGCUUCUGGCUCUCCAGAAUAAAUAGUCUCAGUUGCAUUCCUUAAUGUAGCAUUCCCACCUAGAGAAUCUGAAGUAAUAUACAAUGCAACAUCAUGCCCUACUUGCACCAAAAACUUAACUGGAACCCCUCUUUCCACUCUCAACACCGGUGCUUACUUAUUAUUAAUACACAAAACCUUAGUCAGACUUGGUGGAUUUGGAUAAUGCAACACCUCCCCUGUUGUAGCAACAAGGGAGACUUCUAUAUCAGCAAUAAUCAACUAUUGAUCCUCAGUAUCAUUAGCAUCCAAUGGCCCGAAACAAUCAUCUACCUUCUCUGAAACAUGAAGCACCAAAUGUCCUUAUCCAACCUUCUCUGGACCCCCAUGAAAUUGGGGCAAAAAAUGAGACCGAUUUUCAUUCGGUGGUUUCAUCAACCCUAAUGCCUAAAUAACCCUCAGAUCCUCAUUAGGAUACACAGGCAAAUCAUACUUCUUAUUUGUCGAAUUCAAUGGUUUCCUAAACAUAAUUAAAGAAACCCCAUCUCUCCUAUGUCCAUAAACCAACAUAGUAUUAUUCACCAUUAUGCCAUUUUUCGAGUUCUCAUAAACUACAUCAGGGAAAACACCUAUAGCUGUACGAUCUUUAAAACUCAACUUACAUUCACUAUAAGCCGUAAUGUAAAAAUCAUCAACAAAAGGCCUACCUUCCUCAGUAAAACUUGCCACCGUAACAUCAGCUUCGGACAUCAGCUCAUUCGUCCUAUUCAGAUUCGCCCACCCAAAUGCCAUGUAAUAGGUCGUCGGUGCCCCUGCUUUUAACCCGAUCUCGAUCCAAUUUUCCUCCACAUUCAAGUUCCACCGGACCCUAUAAUUAUUCGAAAAAUUCUUACAGUUAUCAAACACUGUAUACACCAUGUUUGAAACCAAAUCUGACUCGUUUCGAGGGAGGGUGACAUGGCCGAAGUCUGAGGUGCUGGCGAUGUCCCAGAUUGAAAGAACGUUGAUCUGGUCCCAGGUUAUGUCGGGGAGCAAUUGGACUGAAAAUGAUGCAUUUUUGUAAGCUGUUUGAUUGAGGCGUUGAUCGGAGAUAGGGAACCCGCUGGUGAGGUUAGAGAAGUUGAGGGAGACGGCACCCCAAAAAACGAUGUCAGAUGAGCCAGAUAACAUGUCAAAUAAUUAUUCAUAAAUUUAUACAUUCUUUGCAUAUUCUUGGGUACCUACAAUAGGUCCUUGAAUAUCAACGACAUGAGUGACGCUGCUACAGACUCAGAAUCUCCUUUUGAGCGAGACAUGUGUUUAGAGGGAUCUCAUGACUUUGAAAAUGACAUAGAUUGUAGCCCAUCUCCGGACUUGUUAAGGAUGGUAGAACAAGAUGAAAAACAAAUCCUACCUUACAAAGAAUCAAUGGAGUCCAUGGCUUUUCUCUAUGUGGGGCAUGGAUGUCAUUAGGCUGAUUUUGGCAAAAGCUUCUAGCGGUCAAGAAUUCAUCUUUGCAGCCGUCGAUUACUUCACUAAGUGGGUGGAAGCUGCUUCAUAUGCUAAUAUCACAAAGUCGACUGUCAGCAAAUUUUUGAAAAAAUCAUAUGUCGGUAUGAAAUGCCAAAAAGGAUCAUAUCCAACAAUGUACUAAAUUUGAACAACAGCACGAUAUCAAAAGUUGGCUGUCUGUUCAAGAUUAACACCAUAUCGCCCCAAAGUGAACAGUACAGUGGAGGUAAAAAAAAAGUGAACCUCUACCGGGGCAACAUCUUUCUCUUUGGCUUAUUGCAAUUUUUUACCCAUUGAAGUCGAGAUUCUUUCAUUGGAACUUUUUGUGGAUCUAAUCUCGAUUGAAGAGGAGUGUUCAAAGUUAUCUGUCAUGGUCAAAUAUACCAAAAGCAAAUUAUGCAAGCUCACUAAAAAAGUUUGCCCCAAAGAAUUCCAUGAGAGAGAUCUAGUAACGAAGAAGAUUUUUCCCAUACAAAAAGAACUUCAUAAGAAAAUGGAUGUCAAACUCGGAAGGACCUUAUAUGGAAGGUCUUAUAUAGAAAAGUGUUGAUUUUGAUCAGAAGGGAUAACAAGGACAUGCCUAAUCCUAUGAGUUCAGAUUAAAUCAAAAAAUAUUUCAAAAAAGAGAGAGAAGAAGAAAAGAAUAGAAAAAGAAAAAGGAAAGGCCAAGGUGAAAACCAGCAAAGGGCGCCUUGAGACCAAAAGGGAUUUGAGUUGAAAAUCCGCAACGGGUGGCUCAAGUUUUGGAUAAAAAUGGGGCAUGAAGGGAUCAGAGCAACUCAAAUUUUAAUCAGAUUGGAGCAUGUGGUGAUCUUGCUAUACCUGAAUCAAUAAGAAAGGGUAGAUGACAUCUUGGGGCAUCGACAAAGUCCUGUAGAUCUCCUAAACACAUGUUAAACUCAGAAUGGUCUUUCAAAGAGUUUGUAUACAUAAGUUCAAGCUACGAUAUCUGGGGCACCUAAUCUUGAUACUAUUUAUAUUGAAUUUGCUAUCUUGGAAUACUUUAUUCUUUUUCAAGAUACGUGUUCCCAAUCAAUUCCUCUUUUAUUCUUACUAUCCUUGAUAAUUUAUUAAUUUCGAGCCAUGCUCCCAAAUCAAUUCUAUUUUAUCCAUUGUUAUGGUCUUUUUGUAAGCAUGUUACAUUAGAAUAACAAUUAAUGGAUUGAAUAUUCAAGCAAAAGAAGUUUUGCAUAUUACUCUAGAAGUUUCUAAAUAAUAUAGGAACUUGAAACAGGACUAUUGUUUAGAACACACCAAGUUUAAAGGUUGAAAUGUCUAAGGAGGAAAAGUCUAAAUUAAGACUACCCAUUCGAAUUUUAUUGUCAAAAUAUUGAUUGAAAAAAAACGACAAGAUGUCAUGUUGGUGACAAGCUUCAAUGAUCACCGAGUGAUAAAAAGAGGUUUCUCGGAAGAGAAAGUUCUACAGUUGAGCAUAAACAUUUGGUACGACACCCUGAGAAUGGUGUAGGAGACCAAAAGGAUUCAAAUCCUAUAUCCUUGAAUUACAGUGGGAGAGGAUUAAGAAAGCCAGAUCUUAUACUCAAUGGGAGGAAGACAGUUCAAAUUUUAUGUCCCAAAGGUACAGUGAAUUGAACCUUGAAAAUUACAGUGGGGGCAAUCCGGUUAAGUAAGAUAUGAGCAUUACCAACCGGAAAAGAUAGCAUUCUGACAUGUUGGCAAUAAAACCUUAUUGAACAAUGAGCAAUAACAACUCAAACAUUGAGGAAUCAUUUUCAUGACAUUUUGCAUUCAUGCAUGCACAUUUAGUUAGGAGAUUUUGAUUCGUUCCGAUCAUACUAUUCUAAUCACUAGGCAUAAAUAGGCCCAUGAAAUGGAUUCUAUAGGUUUUGUUCCAGUGAUGUUAAGCCUUUGACUAGUAAUAUGAGUAAUAUUGGGCUCCAAAUAUUCCGAUCAUAAUAUUCUAAUCACUAGGCAUAAAUAGGCCUCUGAGAGGGAUUCUACAGGUCAUGUUCCCCAGAGAACAGAUCGGUGAAACCAAAAAUCUUUUCUCCCUGAAGUUGCAGUGGAGCAGACUGAAGGUAGCGAAUCUUAUUUCCCUGGCUUUGCAGUGGAACAGAUUAAAGCUAAAGGUAGCGAAUCUUGUUUCCCUGGCAUUGCAGUGGAAUAGAUUAAAGCUGAAGUAUAGCGGAUUAAAGCUGAAGGCAGUGAAUCCUAUCUCCUUGGCUUUGCAAUGGAACAGAUUAAAGCUAAAGGUAGCAAAUCUUGUUUCCCUGGCAUUGCAGUGGAAUAGAUUAAAGCUGAAGGCGGUGAAUCCUAUCUCCUUGGCAUUACAGUGGAAUAGAUUAAAGCUAAAGGUAGUGAAUCUUGUUUCCCUGGCAUUGCAGCGAAGCAUAUUAAAGCUGAAGGCAACGAAUUGUAUCUCCUUGGCAUUAAAGACUAAAGACAACAAAUCUUAUCUCUAAUUGAAGCCAGACUACAAAUCUUAUAUCUCUAAAGUUGCAGUGGAGCAGAUUAAAGCCAAAAACCUUAUCUCUCUGAAGUUGCAGUAGAGUAGGUUGAAAGAAACUAAUCCUAUCUCCCUGAAGUUGCGGUGGAGCCACAGAUCUUAUUUCUCUGAAGUUAUAGUAGAGUAUACAAAAGAAACCAAUCCUAUCUCUCUGAAUUUGCAGUGGAGCGGAUUAAAAUGAUGGAUCUUAUCUCUCUGAAGUUGCAGUAGAGCAUAUCGCAUCAGACUUUAUUUUCUUAAAGAUGCAGUAAAUCAAGUUGAAGCUACAAGUCUUAUAUCACUGAGGUUUCAGUGUAGCAGACUAAAAAUUGCAUAUCUUAUCUCUCUAAAGUUGCAUAGAGCAGAUCAUAGCAAACAUUAUCUCCCUGAAGUGCAGUGGAGCAGUUGCAGUAUAGUAGAUUGAAACAACACUUCCUAUACCUCUGAAUAUGUAGUGAAUUGGAAUGAAGCUACCUUAAGAAGAAAAGCAUCAAAGUAAGUCAAGAUCUGGUGAGACCGGGCAAAAUUGGUCCUUUUUGAAGUCUUUGCUCCGUUCUCGUUACACGACAAUGAGCAAAGAGGGGCAACUGUAGUGACCCAUUUUUGCCCGGGGCCCAAUAUGACCCAAACAAAACCAAACACAAAAUGAAAACAAAACCUAAACUAAUUAGCAGCCCAUUUUACAACUGGCCCAAACAGCCCAAACUAAACCUAACAACCCUAGCCCAACAGAAUCAGAAAAAUGAAUAGUAAAAAAAAUACCCUAGGUGCACCGCACCUAGGUCUUCUGACCCCUAGCCGCUAGCCUGCCUGCACCGCCUCUGCAACCAUCACAGCAGGCCUCUGGCACCUACAAAACAGAGAAUAACACGCAACAACAAAUGCAAUAAAAAACAACAUGGAAACGGACAAAAAAGAAGAAGCAAACAGUUUUCGAUUCGGCUAUAAAAGCCCGAACUUUAUCUUUUUAUUUUUUUACCAGCACCAGUGAAUCAAAAUAGCAGAAAAGUCUUAAAAAGUGUUUAGAUCUUUUAUUUUAUUUUAUUUUAUUUUUUUUCUCUUCGUGUUCUUGUUCAUUUUUUAUGUUUGUUUACUAUUUUUUUAUAUAUGGAACUAUCUCAACAAAAAACGCAAUAAAAGAAAAAAAGGGAAGGGGUACCUAUCGGUUCUGAAAGCCUAUUGCCGGAGGCCUUCUUUUGGCAUUGGAAUCGGAUCGAAAAGGGUGUGAAAGAUCCCAUCUAUUCGGCCUUUUGGGUCAAGAGAAUUGGGUUUCUAACAAGGAUUUGGAACGGGGUUAAAAAACCCAAUCUUUGCCUAGCUCCGACCACCGCCUGCGGCGGCGCGGCCGUUCGCUGGUGGUGACCAUGGCCGGAGGAGGGGAAAGGUUUUGAAAGAAAAAGAGGAAGUUUUUUAAAAAUUUUUAAAUGGUGGUAGAAAUGAAUUUUUUUUAAAAAAAUUGGGCUUAAAUAGCCCCUUAAAACAGCGCCAUUUCAUCUGACCUCCCUAGGCGCCAAAACGGCGUCGUUUUGGGGAGGUCGACCCGAAAUCGACCCGACCCAGGCAGGAUCCGUGUGUUUUUUUAGCGGAAGGGAUAAUUGCGCCUUCAUCCCUUCCGUUUUUUAAUUUUUUUAAAUUAGGUUUUUUUUUAUUUUUUUUAAUUUUACCUCGCGUUUUCAGCGAUUUCAAUUUGGUCCUCGCUAGACGACGCCGUUUUGGAGGAGAAGGGAAAAUUGCCCUUUUAGUCCCUCCAUGUUAUGCGCGCAUUCAGAAAGGUCCCCUAUUUUUAUUUAUUUGCAGAUUUGCCCCCCAAAGUUCUGUUUUAAGUUCAAAUCAGUCCCUUUUUGUUACUUUUUGCUAUUAAAUUAAUUAAUUUUAAUGGUGUUAUCAUUAUUUUUACCAUUAUUAUUAUUUUUAAUAUUACUGUUACCAUUAUUGCGUUUAUUAUUAUUACUUACCUUAUUAUUAUAAUUAUUUUCUCAUUCAUACUUUUUUUUUAAUUUAAUUUCAAAUUUAGUUAUAUAUAUGCGUACAUACUUUUUCAUAUUAUCUAUAUCUAUGUACACGUGUAUAUAUAUAGAUAUAUAUAUUUAUAUUUUAUAUACAUAUCUACAUAUCUACAUAUAUAUAUAUAUUAUAUUUUCAUGAAUACAUAUACAUACUUAUAUAUAUUUUUUAUAUUUUAUAAUUUUUGUAUGCAUAUAUAUACAUACAUAUAUAUCUUUUUACAUUUUUAUAAUUUUAUUCAUCUUCUUUAUUUAUUUAUUUAUUUAUUUACGUUUUCAUUAUUAUUUUGAAAGAAUGUUUUAAUUUUAUUUGCUUAUAUACUUGUUAUUUUGUAUGAUAUUGAUUUGUCCUUUUAUUUAUCUUAUUUUGUUGCUAUUGCUCGUAUUAUUUUUACAUUAUCGUAUUCAUUAUUGUUUUGUUACGCAUAUUAAUACCAUGUUUUAUUUCUACCAUUUCGCGUUAGAUUAAUUCUAUUUUGAUGCAUGAAUUGCGACUUUAAAAUAAUUAAAAUUUCGUAUUUUGAUUUGAAAAGAUCGUACCCUAACUUACGGGGUUUCGAUUUUCUCGGUAUAUUCAAAUAAACGAUUGUUUUUUUAACAAAAUUUUUUAAAAUAAUCUCGAGAAUUAAGAAAAUCAUAUUCUAACUUACGGAGUACGAUGUUUUUCUAAAUUCGAGAUAAUCGAGUGUCUUUCAAAUAAGUAAAUUUUUCGGCAUAUAUUCUCGUAUCGGGAAUUCGAUACAUUGUGUCCUAAUGCAUUGGAUAUGACAUGUUGUUUUCCCGAGAUGAGGAUUUUUCUAAAAAAUAAUAAAGGCAAUAUUCAAUGUUUGAAAUUUUGAGAAAUUGUGCCCUAACGUAUUGGGCUGCGAUUUCUUCAACUGAAUUAAACAAUUGAAUAUCCUUUUAAAUUUUAUUACACGAGUUGUUUUAGGACAAGCUCAUUUUUGAGGAGGUGAAAUAUCAUGCCCUAACUCAUUGGGUUUGAUAUUUUCUCUCUCCAAAAUGAGAGGGUCUUAACGGGUAAUUUGUUUUAUACAAUUUUUUUUAAAUACAAGGAUCGUAUUUUAAAAUCUUUGCUCAUUUUUUAUAUUAAGACACUAAUUAAAAAGCUAGGUACCAAUUUUGGGCGCAUUGAGGGUACUAAUCCUUCCUCGUGCGUAACCGACUCCAGAACCUAUUUUUUGGUUUUUUGUAGACCGAAAAAUAAUGUUUUAAUAAAUCAAACUAUUUAUUAAAAUGAUUAAAUUGUGAGGUGAUCCGAUCACACCUCAUUAAAAAAAUUGGUGGCGACUCCCGUAGCUUUGAGGGAAAAAAAAGACAGAAAAAGAAUUUUAAAGACACAAAUUAAUAAAAUAAUUUUUUAAUCUACAUUAUAUUAAAACACACACACAAAAAAAAAAUCACCUCAUUUUCCCGUAGCUUAUUAUUUACAGUUUUUCUUGCAAUCCAAGUGCGAGAUGAUCACAAAUUCCAAUUGGCAAUUGGAAAAUGAGAUACGAUUUUUAUGUUGUUUUUUUUUUUCAUUUUUAAAUAUAAUAAAGGCGAAAUUGACGGAAGGGAAACUUUCUCCUUGGUUUAAAAGUCCAGAUAUCAAUUACAAGACAUAAAAAACAACGACAAGUAUUGGUGGCAAGUAGAUGAUAGUGAGUGACACUAUUUGAUUUAGUCUAAUUAUUAUAACAUGUUUGAUUGAAACUAUUUUGUAAUCUCUGAUUAAAUAAAUAUUGAGAGGAAAAGACUUAAAUUUUCUUCUUUUCCUUAGCUAUAAAAUUGAAUUUCUAGUUUGGAUUACAUGCCUGUGGUUCUCAUCUCUAGAUAUGUAAGGCUGAGUCGCUGUUAGUUGGAUGGACCUACAUUGAAAACAUGAAUUGAAAAGAUAAGUAAUAGAAACUUUGUCAUAUUUAGACAAAUAUCAACCACAUCUUUAUUAACUUUUUACAUUUCUUAUCCCAAUAUUCAAAACCAAACAAUAAUACAUUCAUUGCAUGUUCCUUUUCUCAAAUAUCAUUUUAUUUAAUGUCAUUAGAGAUUACUCUAUUCUUUUUUCUUUGUGAUAAAAAUUGUUAAACAAAAAAUUAUUACAAAUGUUGUAGGAAUCUAUCCUUUGAGAUUGUUUGAUUCUAGUUUUUGACAAAUUGCUCAAAGUUGAUGGGAUAAAACAAGUGAGUUUGAUGGUGUUCGGAAACAAGCUUCGACGUUUAGUGAGAUCAAAAUUUGUUGGCAAAUUAAAUUACUCAAUGGGUAAAUAUCCAUGGAAGUUAUUGUCCCAGAGUGGGGCUGGACUUGGAUGGUGUCUGCGAGACUCAUUUUUAUCAAAUUCAAAUCAGUGGCAGUAAUACCGAUUAAAUUACAACUAGAAAUAAAAACAGAUCAGUUGGUUUGGUUGCGAAGAGGUUUCGAGGGUCAUGCUUGUUCCCUAUCAUCCCAAGUACUACUAAGUCAGUACCCCUCUAAAUGGGGGGAACUUUGUUGAUCUUUCAUUGGUUUAAAAGUCCAAAUACCAAUUGUAAGGCAUCAAAACAACAAAGACAAGUAUUGGGGACCAGCUGAAGAGAGUGAGUGACACGGUUUGAUUUAGAGUCUUAUGAUUGCAACAUGUUUGAUCGUGAUCCUCAACUUUGAUUGUAAUGUCUAACAAAAUAAAUACCCAGAUGAGAAGACCUUUUUUCUAUAAAAUCUAAAUUUCUAGUUUUGAAGGCAUGCCUGUAGUUCUCAUCUCUUACUUGUUCUGCACGGCUAAGUCGCAGUUGCUUCGAUGGACCUAUGUUGCCAACAAGUAAUAGAAACUUUGUAAUAUUCAGAUAGAUCAAAUUAAGCUUUUUGUGGACCAUCCUCAAAUAAUUAUUUUUGACAAUCUUGAAUUUAACAAUCUAGCUAUUAAAUUUAAUUAACAAUAUAAUUAUAGUUGCCUUGCAUUUAAAAUUUUAAUCUAUCAUUUCGGUCCAAAACUUUGUUUAUUUCAUAUAUAUUAUAUAAAGCAAAGUUUUUACGUAUUUUUGAAUGUAACUAAGUAAUUAAGCAUGUUUCUUCUACCGCGAGUCAAAAGUUUGCAGCAAUUUUAGCCAUUUCGUACACUAUAUAUCAUUAUAUUGUUGCAUUAAUUAAAGCAGAAUAAUAUAUAUUUCCAUAAGUUUUUAAAAAUAUCAUAAAUUUCCAUUGGGAAUCUUGUUGGUGUAUUCUAAAUUACAUAAUAAUCAGAAAUAUGAAAGAUUUCCAUAUAUUCUCGCCUUUUAGUAUAAGUAAUAAUAAAAAUUUUUGCUGAUUCACCUUUACUAUGAAAAUAAAAAAAAAAUUACAAAAUUAGAACCGUAAAUCAAUUUUGGUUUAAAAUUUUAAACCUACAUAUUAAAGAUAUCCUAACAAUUUUACUUUAUAAGAGCACAAUUUAUGGAAUAAUUUUUAUAUCCAAUCAAAGGCCUUUCAUUCUUAUAAAUAUCGGAAAUUACAAAGUUAAUCUUUGUGUAGAAAAUCUGAUAGGUAAGUAGCAUAGCAUCUAUCUAAUAGAUUAGGAAAUCUGUAGUCUUGAGAUGGAAUAGAUUUUACGGUCACAUUGGCAACCUUAAAUUAUAACCUUCUUUGAUCUCGUUUGCAUAACAUUCAUCUAAUUUUGAGAAAUCUUCACUUUUAAUUUCAAAAUUGUAAUUAAAUAGUUUUAUCCAAUUAAAUAAUAAUAAUAUAUGGCUAUGGUGAUGUCUAUAAUUUCAUAAAAUAAUUACUCUAAUCUAAUCCAUGUCUCUUUCUUUCUGAGUUUAUCAAGCAAUAAAUUCCCUUCGAUUUCACCUAACUUGUUAUAAUAAUGUUUUUUCAAAUUAGUUAAAGAAGAAAAUUUGUGAUGUUAUACUUAAAUUGAAUCUUUCGAUUUAUUAGGAAUUGCUUUUAAAUUAGAAAGAUCAAAAUUUAAGUAGAAUCACUUAGAGAUGCUAGUGGGGAAAGUUUUGCGGGUCCCGCCCUACUUCGUGCUCGAUUGACAGUGGGAUGGGGACAAAAAUUAAACCCGUUGUGAGUGGUGGGGUAGGCGUGAGUAUGACCUUGUACCUACCUCAUCCCCACCUACCCCAUCCCAUCCUACAUAAUAUAAUAAACAUAUUUAAAAAAUAAACAUUUAUAAAAAAAAUAUUUCAAUAAUUAUUUUAAUAGUAUUUAAUUUUUGCUCUUGUGUUGCAUUUGAAGAUAUUUAUGAUGUAUUUGAGAUAUUGUUUGUAUUUUGAUAUUAUGUAAUGACUUUAUUUUUUGAAUUUUUAAACUUGAAACUAUAUCUUAUUUACCGAUUAAAGGUCGUAACGACUUAACUUUUUUUUAAAUAGUAAAUAGUGACAGUUAGAAUAAUGUCACAUAUGUGGUGGGAGUCUGGAGGAUAUAUAUUUUAUACUUUUGUCACAAAAAAUUGGUUUAUAUUUAUUUAACUGAUACUUAUAAAUAUAUCAUAUGAAGUGGGUCAUAAGGCAAAUAUAGCGAGGAUUAGGUGGGUUGUGGGUGGUAGGGCGAGGAUGAAAAUUGUGUAAGUCAAAGUCUGUGUAAUUUGUAGUAAUGCAUACCAAGAAGGAAUCUUCUGCCCUCUCUCUUUCUAUCUCUGUCUUCCUCUCAUUUUGGUGUAUUGUUUGUUUGGAUGUGUUUUGUCUUGUGUUGAUCUCAUUUGUUUUGUUCCAGUGAUGUUAAGCCUUUGACAAGUAAUGCAAGACUGCAUGUCUACACCAUUAUUCACUAUUCAACAAUACAUUACUUAUUUUUUUCUUUGUGAUAAAAUUUAUUAACAACAAAUGCUACGCUUGUUUUAUGGAUAAAGCAAUGUUUAUUUAAUAUAUCCACAACAAUAUCAGUCUGAUUUACUGAAAAAUAUAUAUUAUAUAUCCACAACAAUAAAUUAAUUUCCAGUUAUACGUCUCAUCCAAUAAUAAUAUUUUCACUAUUACCAAAUAUUUGCUCUUUUAAUAAUUGGUUAGAAAAUGGCGUUCAACAUGAAUUUAGACAAAUAGUUUAGUAGUAGAUUAAAUUCUUUGGAUAUAUUAACCAAAUCCACAUCAACAAAUUUUACCUCUGAUGGAUUCAAUUGAACAUAUAAAAUAAUAACUUGUUAGAAGGGUUGAUUAAUUGGAAAGCAUAGAAUGGGUUAAUCAAUUAGAAAACUAGAAAUUAUUAAACUUAAGGAUAUAAUUUUAUAUUGGAAUUAUUCAGUGGGAUGAAGAGUAAAUUUCAAGUAGCAAAAGGAUGGAUCCAUCUCUCUCCCUUCCAUAUUUAGUCUUUUGCAAAUCUUCAAGAAUAAGCUGAUGUACAGUUAUUUUACUUUGAAUGCAUGAGUCUAUGGUAAGAAAGGGGUCCCAGCAGCAAGGUAAAAUGGUAAGUGUUGAAACAGAAAAUAAAAGAAAUGUAGCCGCCGUGGGUCUUAUGGAAUUAGUAUGAUUUAACGAUGAUGGGGUGUUAUGGUGCUUUGGAAUCAUCGUUUUUUUUAAGAUGAUUUGAUUUGGUGAAAGGGAGAGGGCCCGAUGUGGGUAUUUGGUUGCAUCUUUAUUGUUGUACAAAAAUCUUGCUAGUUGGAGGAUCAACUUUCCUUUUAAUUUUAAUAAAAAUUAUAUAUGAACUUGUGAACUUGUAUUCAAAUUGAAUCUUUCCAUUGAGUCGGCUCUUGCAAGUCAAUGCAGCAAUCAAGAACCAUAUUAUUAAUACCCAGCUAAGAUCGUGGACGUUUUCUACUCUAUAUCUUUCUCCUAAAUGCUUCAUUCCAGUGAAAAGUGCUGCAAUUCCUACAGUAAUGGCAACUCUGCCGAUAAUUACAUGGAAAUACUCCCAAAUUAAUCUCUUUGUGGAAGCGUCCUCCCUAUUAGCAGGUUUCUCCGGUCUGAGAUAUGCAUUCAUUGGUUGCAGAGAGGCAAAAACUAUGGCAGCAAUACCAAGCUUAACAUGUAUCGAGCUGACAUAGAAACCGCGAAGUUCGGCAACUGCAAAAAGAACACCAAGUAGGAUAAUUGCUAAUCCUGAAUAUUGUAGGUAAAUAUGAAUUUGGUACCAUCCAUCACCCUUUACAUGUUUUAGGUAUCUAGCAGCCAAUAUUCCACCAGGAAUCAAAAUACACCAGGAGAGGAACAGUAUAAACCCAUGUACAGCUUUGACAGGUUGUAAACCUUGCUCAGCCUCGGAAGAACCACGGAUAAGCAGCACUUACACAGGCCUUUGACUCGUGACAGUAUGCAUGUAUUUCUCACUGAGAUGUUCAUCAGUCCACUUUGAACCCAUUGCCCAUAUGACUUUAAGAGGAGUUGUAGGGUCAACAAUGUUCUUGCACUCUGGCUUAUCAUUUUGAUUGCAUGAUGGUUUUAAUGGACGCCUGAAUUCCAAAGUAAUGAUGCCAUCUUCUGACCUGCACCUGACAUGUGUCAGAUUCUCAUUUGUUGGAUGGAUGUUCAAGGGAUGCUUUCCAUCAAUCCAAUAUGUAUUUAAAUGCCCUUUUCCAGUAUCGCCAAUCCAGCCCACAUAUGCAUAGCUAUUCACCAUCCCAUUACCGAAACCUAUUGCAAGAUAGCCACUCUUAUUCACACCAUGGGCAGCAAUAGUUAUUGAAUCUUCUGAUAACGUCCAAAAGAAAGUAACUUGAUCAUCUAAAAGCACACUAGUGAGGGCACCAUCAAAAACUUGAACCUUCCAUCCCAUCUUCUCCUGGUACAAGGACUGAUAAUACACUUGAUCGGGGGUAUUCCUAUCGGGAACCCAAAUCAAUUCGUGAGGAUUUGCUACAACUCCUUCUGCUUCUGGCCCUCCAGAAUAAAUAGUCUCAGUUGCAUUCCUUAAUAUAGCAUUCCCUCCUAGAGAAUCUGAAGUAAUAUACAAUGCAACAUCAUGCCCUGCCUGCACCAAAAACUUAACUGGAACCCCUCUUUCCACUCUCAACACCGGUGCUUACUUAUUAUUAAUAUACAAAACCUUAGACGGACUUGGCGGAUUUGGAUAAUGCAACACCUCCCCUGUUGUAGCAACAAGGGGGACUUCUGUAUCAACAAUAAUCAACUCUUGAUCCUCAUUAUCAUCAGCAUCCAAUGGCCCAAAACAAUCAUCUACCUUCUCUGAAACAUUAAGCACCAAAUGUCCUUAUGCAACCUUCUCUAGACCCCAUGAAAUUGGGGCAAAAAAUGAGACCGAUUUUCAUUCAGUGGUUUCAUCAACCCUAAUGCCCAAAUAACACUCAUAUCCUCAUUAGGAUACACAGGCAAAUCAUACUUCUUAUCUGUCGAAUUCAAUGGUUUCCUAAACAUAAUUAAAGAAACCCCAUCUCUCCUAUGUCCAUAAACCAACCUAGUAUUAUUCACCAUCAUGCCAUUUUUCGAGUUCUCAUAAACUACAUCAGGGCAAACACCUAUAGCUGUCUGAUCUUUAGAACUCAACUUACAUUCACUAUAAGCCGUAAUGUAAAAAUCAUCAACAAAAGGCCUACCUUCCUCAGUAAAACUUGCCACCGUAACAUCAGCUUUGGACAUCAGCUCCUUCGUCCUAUUCGGAUUCGCCCACCCAAAUGCCAUGUAAUAGGUCGUCGGCGCCGCCGCUUCUAACCCGAUCUUGAUCCAGUUUUCCUCCACAUUCAAGUUCCACCGGACCCUAUAAUUAUCCGACAAGUUCUUGCAGUUAUCAAACACUGUAUGCACCGAGUCCGAAAUUGAAUCCGACCCGUUUCGAGGGAGGGUGAUAUGGCCGAAGUCCGAGGUGCUGGCGAUGUCCUAGAUUGAAAGAUCGUUGAUCUAGUCCCAGGUUAUGUCGGGGAGCAAUUGGACUGGAAACGAUGCGUUUUUGUAAGUUGUUUGAUUGAGGCGUUGACCAGAGAUGGGGAACCAACUGGUGAGGUCAGAGAAGUUGAGGGAGACGGCGCCCCAAAAAAAUGACGUCGGAUGAGCCGGAUAACAUGUCGAAUCCGGUGACCUGGAAAGAGCAGCCAUCAAAGAUUUUGAGAUGGCCACGGAGUUGGUGUCGGACCGUUGUGAAGUUCGAUUCGAACCCGACUAGGGAGCUGGUGUUGGAGCAUUUCUGACCCAAAUCCUCUUUGGAAGAGGCGAUGGAAUUGAUUAGGAAGAGCAGGAUUAGAAGGAAAAUUUUGGAAUUGUACAUUCGAAUCCGGUCGCGGGUGAUUCGAGAAUCCGAAUUCGGUGAUGAUGGAAAAUGAACGUUUCAAAGAGAAGGAAAGAGCCAAUGAGCGGCUGGUGGUGGUGAGUGGUGACUCGGUGCAGCCGGAGCGAGUCGUCAACUUGUCUCGAUAUUGUUUUAUAAUUUUACUUUUUUUCCUGCUUUUCUGAAGAGAGGAAACCAGAAUCCCAACUAUCUUCUCAACUAUCAGUUUUUUAAUUUUGCUCAUUCAACCGUCAAUUUUUAAUCUUAGUUCAAAUUUUUUAAUUUUGUAGUCCAACCGAUUGAGAUUUUUUUUUUUCCAAUUUCCGUUAAGUAGGGUUAAAUCUCUAAUGAGAGGAUAUGACAGUUAAAAAUUAAUAUAAUAAUAAAUUUAACUCUUAAUUUUUAUAUUUUCUAUUAAUUUAGUCAUUAAUUUUUAAAAUUUACAAAUAAACUCAAUAUAAUCAUCAAAAUUUACCUUUUCUUUCCACUUCCUCCGCUACUACUAUCACCAUUGCCUCUAGUUCUGCCCUCUCCUCCACCUUUCUCAAAAAAAAAAAAACCCCCUUUUUUUCAAUCAUGUUCAAAUUUAAGGUAUUAUAAUUUAUUUUGUGUUAAGUUAGAUGAAGCCUAAGCAAUUUAAAUAUAUGUGCUACUAUUUAACAAUAAAUUAGGUUGAAAUAGAAAGAGGAAAGGUAAGUUUUUUUGGGGAGAAAGGUGGAGGUGGAGGUAAUGAUGGUAAUGGCACGUGGUGAAGUACAAGAGAAAAAUAAAUUUUGAGAAUCUGAGACUAUUUAUAAAAUUUGAGAAUUAAUUAUUUUAUAAUUUUGACUAAAUCAAUUUAAGAUGUAAAAUUUGAGAGCAAGAUUUAUAAUUAUACUUAUUUUUUAACUACCACAUUACCCUCGAUAGAGAUUUAAAGAAAUGAACAAAAAAAAAAUCUCAAUUAGUUGAGUGAUCAAAUUAAAAAAAUUCAUAAUUAGGUAGCUAAAAAAGAAAAAGGGGAGAUAGUUGGGUGACUUGUGGUGUAGUUUACCCUAAUAAUAAAAUAUAAAAGGGUAAACUGUAGAAUUAGUCACCCCAUUAUUAGUGUAUUUAUGUUUUAGUCACCUAACUAUGAAAAUUUUCAAUUUUAUCACUAUCGUUUUAGAUCAUUUCUAUUUUGGUCACUCACAUUUUAGAGUAUUUUUAUUUUACUCACUCUUCAUUAAAUGGUUAAUGAAAGUUAUGAUGUAACCUUUUUUUUAAUUAGUAUAAAUAAUACAUUUAGUCUUCAAUGCUUACAAAUUUUAUCAAUUUGAUCCUCGAACACAUAUAAUUAAAUAUAAAGUAUAUAUUGUGAAAACGUACAAAAUAUAAUUAUUUAUAUAUAUUUAUCUAAAUAAUAUAAUAUGUGCUUAUAUUUUAUUAUAAUUAUAAUGUUCAAAUAUGCAUUUAGCCCCUCAAACUUGACACCUUUUUCCAUUUUGGUACUUAUAAUUUUUUUGUCCCAAGUUGGUACCUAAUUUUUUAUUCCAUCAAGAGCUUUGAUUUUUUUUUUGUUACAAUAUUAAAUAUAAGACUUGACACUCUUAGGAUGCCAUAAUCCAUUUUUUUAUAAAAAUAUACUAAAAAAUUUAAAAGAAACUAUAUGAAAUAUAUAUAUUUUAAAAUAUAAAAGAAAUUAUAAAUUAUAAAAAUAUAUGUAAAUAAAAAAUUUAAACUAUUACAAAAAAUCUAAAAUUCAAGUUGGAAAAAUUGAAAACCUAGAAAAUUUACACAUUUUUCUAAAUAAAUUGCAAACAAAUUAGAUAAAGAUAAAUUUUGCAAUAAAUUUUAUGUUUAGAGAUGGGUGUAAAUUAUUACACGAUUUUUCAAUUAAAUAAGAAUGUAAAAGAUGAUGAUUUAAAAAUGGCUUACAAGAAGCUUUUUCGUUGUCUUUUUUUUUGCUGUUAAUUAUUGCCUAGGUGAUAGGAGAAAUUGGGUUCCUUUGUUGAAAAUGCUAUAAAACCACAAAUUUACUAAGUUAUGGGGGUUUUGAGUUUUUUGGUUUAUCAAAAUCACACAUACAUAUAAAUUUAUCAACAUUUAGUUAUAUGUGUUUAAAUAUAAUCAUUUUUUAUAUUUAAUUAUAUGUGUUUUAGAAUAAAGUUGAUAGAAUUUGUAAAUAUGGAAUGUGAAAUUUAUUGAAUUAUUUAGAAUAAGAAUCAAAUUGAUAGAAUGUGCAAGUAUUAAGAAAUAAACAUGUUAUUAUACCAUCUAUAAUUUGAAAAAACAAAUAUCCAAAAAUAAUAUAAAAAUACAUAUCUAUAAUUUCGCAAAAAGAAUUAGAUUGCCAUAAAAAUAUAAGAAUGUACUAAACUUUUUGGAAUAAAUUAACCAUCUAUUCCUUAUUUCAAUUUUAUUAAAAAGAUAGGUUCCCAUAAAGACAGUCUUUACAAACCAGUGCACCUAUCAUAAACACAUCAGGGAACAUUGCCAUGAGAGAGGACCUAAGAAAACAUAAUACAAAGCACCCACACAAAAUGUUUAUUAAACAGCUACUGAAAAAGGCCUGCAUACCACCAAGCAAUGAAGUUUUCUGUUCUGUUUGCAACUUGUUGAACUCGCCCAAGUGUUGCCUUCUCUACCUUUUUGCAAAUCUUCGUCGGACUCGCUCCACGAUCCUAAUCAACCACCAUGGUUUUCCAGUCGUGAAUACAAUGUAUGCCAUGCUCAUUCCCAGCACCAACCCACAUCCAUACCCCAUCAAUAUUGAAAAUUUCCAAUUCAAUUCAUCACCAUCAUCAUCUCUAUCAAAUAUGGCUGGGGUUUCCUCAUCAGUACCACAGUUUUUUGAUAGUGGCAAACCACAUAAAUCCAAAUUUCCCAUGUAGGAAUCGUUAGUGAAAGUAUCAAAUUGUUUGCCUUGAGGAAUGGGUCCCUUGAGAUUAUUUUGAGAAAGGUUUAACACCUCUAAGAAUCCAAGAUUUUUCAACUCUGUUGGAAUUCUUCUUUCCAGCUUAUUUGAUGAGAGGUCUAAUGAUUCAAGCUCUGACAAAUUACCUAAAGAUGAUGGGAUAGGACCUAUUAAACAGUUAUAGGAGAGAUUUAGGACAAUAAGUAAAUGAAGCUCACCAAGUAUUUUUGGAAUUUCUCCCCUGAAUUGGUUACUAGAAAGGUCAAUAACCGUCCAAAUGGAUAAUGUGAUUCAAACUUUAUUUCCAGCCCUCUUGCUAUAACAGAUAAACCAUCAGUAUAAUUCACUAAAAAUUCACUAAGUGCUUCUCUCAUGUAAUGUGGAUCAACUUUCUUUCCAUACUCAUCUCUAAUGGCAUGCAUAUGCUCAAAAAAAGGGUAGGUAAGUAGCCACUAAAUUUAUUGUGAGAAAGAUCAAUGAUUUGCAAUUUAGUUAAAGAAAAUGUAAUAUCAAAGCUCUCUAUUUGGCUGUAAAAUCUAUUCAACCUCAAGGUAAGAACUUGCAGCUGAUCCAAAUUUCCUAACCAACUUGGGAAAGUGUCAUUCAAAUUGUUGUUUCCAACAUUGAGAAGAUUUAAACCUUUGCAAUUACCCAAAGAUCGUGGUAGUGACCCUUCUAAUUUAUUGUUGUCGAUGCGUAAACUUCUCAACAUGCAACCUUUAGCAAAAUUUUCUGGUAUUUGACCAUGAAAAUUAUUAUUCCCUAGCUGAACUGCUAUGAGAGAAGAACUCAAGUUUCCGAUGCACAUUGGAAUUGUUCCCUCCAAAUUAUUCUCAUCUAAAAGCAUAACCAUAAGGGAAGUGAAACUGCAUAUUAAAGAAGGGAUUUCUCCAAUUAAGUUAUUAGUUGAAACUCCAUAGAAUUGCAAUAAAGGUGGUGGUGUUGGAAUUCGACCUUAGAGAUAAAAUUGAAAAUGAGAUAGAAUUAGGAGUUUGAAGAUUCUUUGGAAUAUAAAUUAUAAAAUAACUAUAUUUGUGAUGUAUUACAUGCAUGAUGUGCACACUCGAUACAAAUAAUUGGUUAAUUUACUACACUACUUCUAACCAUUUUUAGAUGCAUCACAACAACUUUUAAGUUGUAAUCUAUUGAAGGAAACUACUACUAUCUUCUAGAGAAAUUUUUAUUUCCCUUACUUAAAAGUAAAAUGGGAUUGCAUAAAUGUAUAAAAAAUUGAAGGAAAAAAAUAUCAAACUAUACCUAAUAGUUUAUUAUAAAAGAGAUAACCAUUUAAUAUCUUACUUAUAUUUCAUUUUUUAGUGUUUAUUAUUAUUUUUGGUACAUUUAUGUAUAUUUUAUAAUUUAUUAUUGGGGUUCACGGUUGCUAUUGUCAAGAAUAUCAUCUCUAAUACUUGAAUCUUGUUCUCCCAUUAAGAGAGUAAUAUGCCUUACCACUGCACCGAAUAUUUAUUGGUGUAGUAUUUAUUAUAACUACAAAUAAAUUUAAUUAUCUUUUUAUGAAACUCUAAGUUAGAGGUCAAAUAAAAAAGAAAUUUAAUUAAUAUAGUGUUUAACUUUUUAUCAUUUUAAUUAUUAGUUAUAAAAUUUUUCCUCACAAUUGAAAUUUAAAAAUGACAUUUUAUGAAAUUUAAAGAUAACAUAAUUAAUAGAAAAUUGACAUUUUCUUUAGAGUCGGAAUUUAAGUAGUAGCAAUAUCUAUAACUGGUACUUCAAAUGUACAUUUUAUGUUUAUAAUUUUUAUAAGAUUCGGAGUUAAUUAAGAUUGUAGCCUCAAAAUUGGUGUUAUGAAAGCCAUUUUUUAUAAGAAUAUUUUUCUAUUUAACAAUGAUUGUCCAGCAUGUUAUAAUUGAAACCUAAUAUGGUAUUCACUAUUACUGACUCGGAACUCGAGUAGGUUCAAGUUACUGACCCACAACCCAAGUAGACUCAAAGGAAUUCGGGUCGGGCCCCACGAAGUGGGCAUGUUAGAGUUCGUACAUCCAAUUUGUGAGUAUGCUAUAGCUCUCGAGCCUAGCUCACAAGACAAGCUUGCACAUUGAGUUCACAUAUCUCUAUAUGCUUGCGAGGAGAGGUGUUAGGUCAAGCACGUGGUCCAUGACCACGUGUUAAGUCUAGAGCAAGAUAUGUGUUAGCAUGCAUGAAGCCUAUCUAAGACGUCAUUUUAGUGAAUAGUAACCGUAUUAUAUAAAUACUAAGUCUUAUGCCCAUAGUAGACACAAAGAGAAAAUACUCAACAAUUUGGUGUAAUGUGUGUGGUCAAACUUUUGAUUGAUAGAUUUUAGGGGUGAGCAAAACUCGAUUCGACUCGAAAAAAUCGAAAAAAAAUUUGAAUUUCGAGUUAAACGAAUCAAGUUUUUCGAGUUAAUCGAGUUAUUCGAAUCAACUCGAAUAUUUUUUUCGAAUUUCGAGUUCGAAUCGAGUUGAGUUUUCGAAUUCGAAUAACCCGAAUAAUUCGAAUAAUUCGAAUAUUAAACUAUAAUAUUUUACAUUUUUACCCCAAACUCCCAAACCUUUUUAUUUUUCCCUCAAAACUUUUACUCCUUCCCACUUUCCCCCCAAAACUUUUACUCCCCUCCCCUCCCAACCCCCCAAUCUACCCAAAAUCUAUUUCCCACCAAAAUUUUACUCUCCCAUUUAUUUUUUCUCAAAAUAACCUUUUUCUUUUUUCAAUCAUGUUCAAAUUUAAGGUAUUAUAAUUUAUUUUGUGUUAAGUUAGAUGAAGCCUAAGCAAUUUAAAUAUAUGUGCUACUAUUUAACAAUAAAUUAGGUUGAAAUAGAAAGAGGAAAGGUAAGUUUUUUUCUGGGAAGAAAGGUGGAGGUGGAGGUAAUGAUGGUAAUCGCACGUGGUGAAGUAGAAGAGAAAAGUAAAUUUUGAGGAUCAAAUUGAAACUAUUUGUAAAAUUUGAGAGUUAAUUAUUUUAAAAUUUUGACUAAAACAAUAUAAGAUAUAAAAUUUGAGAGCUAGAUUUAUAAUUUUACUCAUUUUUUAACUACCACAUUACCCUCCAUAGAGAUUUAAAGAAACGGACAAAAAAAUCUCAAUUAGUUGAGUGAUCAAAUUAAAAAAAAUUGAUAAUUAGGUAACUAAAAAAAGAAAAAUAAAAAUUGAUAAUUGUUCAUCGAUAGUGUAUAGAACUUAUGCACCAACAAUGCAUCAAAUAUUCUCAUUAAAAGAAAAUGUAUAAAAUAAGUUUUAUACUAUCUAUAAUUUGUAAAAAAAAAAAUUCAAUAAAAAAUAAAAAAAUACAUCUAUAAACUCACAAAAAGAAUUACAUAUCUAUAAUAUCUUUUUAUAAAUUCAAUUCCAAAUCUCCUGUAAUAAAUCAACCUCACAAAUCUGAUUGAGGUUAAAAACAAAGAAUGCAUGUAUUGUGCAAUUAAAACUAUGAUCCAUUUUCAAUUCUAAAGUAUUGAACAUAUAAUUUUGCAUUAUUUCACAAACUCUUUGCAAUAAAUUAACCAUCUAUUCCUUAUUUCAAUUUUAUUAAAAAGAUAGGUUCCCAUAAAGACAGUCUUUACAAACCAGUGCACCUAUCAUAAACACAUCAGGGAACAUUGCCAUGAGAGAGGACCUAAGAAAACAUAAUACAAAGCACCCACACAAAAUGUUUAUUAAACAGCUACUGAAAAAGGCCUGCAUACCACCAAGCAAUGAAGUUUUCUGUUCUGUUUGCAACUUGUUGAACUCGCCCAAGUGUUGCCUUCUCUACCUUUUUGCAAAUCUUCGUCGGACUCGCUCCACGAUCCUAAUCAACCACCAUGGUUUUCCAGUCGUGAAUACAAUGUAUGCCAUGCUCAUUCCCAGCACCAACCCACAUCCAUACCCCAUCAAUAUUGAAAAUUUCCAAUUCAAUUCAUCACCAUCAUCAUCUCUAUCAAAUAUGGCUGGGGUUUCCUCAUCAGUACCACAGUUUUUUGAUAGUGGCAAACCACAUAAAUCCAAAUUUCCCAUGUAGGAAUCGUUAGUGAAAGUAUCAAAUUGUUUUCCUUGAGGAAUGGGUCCCUUGAGAUUAUUUUGAGAAAGGUUUAACACCUCUAAGAAUCCAAGAUUUUUUAACUCCGUUGGAAUUCUUCCAUCCAGCUUAUUUGAUGAGAGAUCUAAUGAUUCAAGCUCUGACAAAUUACCUAAAGAUGAUGGGAUAGGACCUAUUAAACAGUUAUGGGAGAUCUAUUCGACCUCAAGAUAAGAACUUGCAGCUGAUCCAAAUUUCCUAACCAACUUGGGAAAGUGUCAUUCAAAUUGUUGUUUCCAACAUCGAGAAGAUUUAAACCUUUGCAAUUACCCAACGAUCGUGGUAGUGACCCUUCUAAUUCAUUGUUGUUGAUGUGUAAACUUCUCAACAUGCAACCUUUAGCAAAAUUUUCUGGUAUUUGACCAUGAAAAUUAUUAUUCCCUAGAAAAACUGCUGUGAGAGAAGAACUCAAGUUUCCGAUGCACUUUGGAAUUGUUCCCUCCAAAUUAUUGUCAUGUAAAGCCAUAGCCACAAGGGAAGUCAAAUUGCAUAUUGAAGAAGGGAUUUCUCCAAUUAAGUUAUUAGUUGAAACUCCAUACAAUUGCAAUAAAGGUGGUGGUGUUGGAAUUCGACCUUAGAGAUAAAAUUGAAAAUGAGAUAGAAUUAGGAGUUUGAAGAUUCUUUGGAAUAAAAAUUAUAAAAUAGCUAUAUUUGAGAUAUGUACACUCAAUACAAAUAAUUGAUUAAUUUACUACACUACUUCUAACCAUUUUAAGAUGCAUCACAACAACUUUUAAGUUGUAAUCUAUUGGAGGAAACUACUACUAUCUUCUAGUGAAAAUUUUAUUUCCCUUACUUAAAAGUAAAAAGGGAUUGCAUAAAUGUAUAAAAAAUAGAAGGAAAAAUAUAUCAAACUAUACCUAAUAGUUUAUUAUAAAAGAGAUAACCAUUUAAUAUCUUACUUAUAUUUCAUUUUUUAGUGUUUAUUAUUAUUUUUUGUACUUUUAUGUAUAUUUUAUAAUUUAUUAUCGGGGUUCACGGUUGUUACUGUCAAGAAUAUCAUCUCUAAGACUUGAAUCUUGUUCUCCCAUUAAGAGAGUAAUAUGUUUUACCACUGCACCGAAUAUUUAUUGGUGUAGUAUUUAUUAUAACUACAAAUAAUUUUAAUUAUCUUUUUAUGAACCUCUAAAUUAGAGGUCAAAUAAAAAAGUAAAUUAAUUGAUGUAGUGUUUAAAUUUUUAUCAUUACAUGUAAAGUUUUAAUUAUUAGUUAUAAAUUUUUUUCCUCACAAUUGAAAUUUAAAAACGACAUUUUAUGAAAAUUAAAGAUAACAUAAUUAAUAGAAAAUUGACAUUUUCUUUAGAGCCGGAAUCUAAGUAGUAGCAAUAUCUGUAACUGGUAUUUCAAAUGUACAUUUUAUGUUUAUAAUUUUUAUAAGAUUGGGAGUUAAUUGAGAUUGUAGCCUCAAAAUUAGUGUUAUAUAUGAAAGCCAUUUUUUAUGAGAAUACUUUUCUAUUUAACAAUGAUUGUCCAACAUGUUAUAAUUGAAAUCUAUUAUGGAAUUCACUAUUACUAACUCGAAACUCGAGUAGGUUAAAGUUAUUGACCCACAAUCUAAGUAGACUCAAAGGAAUUUGGGUCGGGCUCCACUAAGUGGGCAUAUUAGAGUUCGCACAUCCAAUUCGUACGAAUUUGAGUAUUUUUUAUGAGAAUACUAAUCAAAUAGAAACUUGGGAAAAGAAUAGUGGCCUUUUUAUUCAUGUUUGGCAAAUUAAUAUACUUUGUUUCUCUCAUAAUAUAAAAUAUGUCCUGCGCAUAAAUUAAUUAAACAAAUAAAUAAUAAGGCAAAUCAAAAAGGUAAAUCUACGUCUAAAUUAUAAUUCAUAAUAUAAAUUAAUUAAUGUAAAUUUUAAAUUUUUUUAAAUCAUUAUUAUUAUCAAAUAAAUUCUCUUAAUAAAAUACUUUUAGUGAAAUUAGAAAUCUUACUUAUAAAUAAUAAUAAUAAUAAUAAUAAUAAAUUUUGCUAUGAGCAAAUAGAAAAAUAGUCAAUAUUCUUAAUCAUUUUCAUUAAUUUAAGAGAUUUUGCAUGCUUAUUCUUUUAUGUAUAUAUAUAUAUCUAUUAUAGAUGUAGAUUAUAAAUUGUAGACAAAUAUUUUGGUUGGGUUAGCAAAGCUGAAAAAGUUGAGAAUAAUAAUUUGUUAAAUUUAUAAAUUUAAGGUGAAAAAUUAAAUCCUAAUAGUUAAAAUAUCUAUAUGUAAUUAAUGAAUAAGAAUUGCAAAGAAUGGCGUAAAAGAAAAAUAAAAUGAAAGAAUUUAAAAUAUAAUUUUUAAUUUUAUAUCACGUGUCGUAUUAUAAUUGAAACCUAUUAUGAAAUUCACUAUUACUACUUGAAAUUCGAGUAGGUUCAAGUUAUUGACCCACAACCCAAGUAGACUUAAAGGAAUUUGGGUCGGGCCCCACAAAGUGGGCAUAUUGGAGUUUGCACAUCCAAUUCGUAGGUAUGCUAGAGCUCGUGGGCCUAGCUUACAAGACAAGCUUGCACAUUGAGUUCACACGUCUUUAUAUGAUCGCAAGGAGAGGUGCUAAAGUCAAGCACGUGGUCCAUGAACAUGUGUUAAGUCUAGAACAAGAUACGUGUUAACAUGCAUGAAGCUUGUCUAAGACGUCAUUUCAGUGAGUGUGGUGCAGUGAGUUUGGUCAAACUUUCGAUUGACCAUUGUAGGCAAAAAGAGAAAACACUCAACAAUUUGGUGCAGUGAGUAUGGUCAAACUUUCGAUUGACAAUUUUUCAGCUUGUAACAAUCAAAAUAGCUCACCCAAAUGAAAAUUUCUCCAUCAAUGUUUUGUCAGGAUAAGUUGCUAGUAUUAUAUUGUUGCUAGUAUUAUACAAAACAAAAAGUCACAAAAGUGAGAGAAAACCUAGUCAUCAGCACACCAAAACUCAUUAAGUCGAUCAUAGUUGCUGGUAUUAUAUUGUAUCUUCUUACAUCGAGAGAUAAGGUGGGUGAGAAAGGGAGACAAAAGACGGUGAGCUUGGAUGGGACAUUAAGGGGGAAGAGAGGAAAAAAUGUCAUGUGUCUAACUAUUUCUAGUGUUUGAACCGUUUUGAGUCGUAUCUAUCUUUGAACUCAUACCGUCCUAAGCCUUAGAACAUUACAAGCUUAAAAGACCAAUGUAUUUCCUAUUCAAUAAUAUCAACUAUGGCUUAGCAACAACUAAAUCAAGACCUAAACAAGAAGGCAAAUCUAAAAGGUAGAAGGAAUAGUUAAUUAAAAGUAGUGUGUGAUUAAAAAGGUAGAUGGUGAACUUAGGAUGUGGAGUUCCAAUAAAUACCUAAACUUUUGGCAAUUCAAAUAGUUUCUUUAUAAAUAUUUGUAAAUAUUUGAGUCUUAUUUGUAUUAAGAAAUACAUUAUUUGAAAGAGCAUAAUAAUUUUAAGCGGUCUAAUAAUGAAAAUAUUAUAUUAAACUUUAGUAGAGUUUAAUUAUAUAUAUUAUAAGAAUAGUCUUCGCUGUAUUUAUCCAUUUAAUUUUAUUUUUUUAUUUUGGUCCCUUGGAACGGUGCGUUUAGGGGGUAUGGGGAUAAUUUCAUAGUUGGUCCCUGUCCAUUUUCACGCAUUUAAUUUUAGUCCUUUAUUCUGUUUUAUUGUUUAAUUUAUUUAUUUUAUUAUGAUUUAUAUUUUUAAUUUCACUUAAAUUUCGAUUCAGUCCCUUAUUUAUUUAGUUUCAGCCUUUCAUGAAUUUUAUUUAUUUUUUACUUCUUUAUUUUCAUAUACUUAAAAAUUGGAUUGUUUACAUUCUUUUAUUUGUGCAUUUUUUUGCCCAUUUAUUUUAUUUACUUAAAAAGAUUGCAUAAAUUUAAUAACAAAAAGGAGAAUAAAAGAAAAAUGAAAUUAUACCUGUCAAUUUGUUACUGCCAAGAGAAAGCACUUGAAGAGAAAUCAAGUUUCCAAUAACAAGAGGAAUUUUACCUGAAACAUAUAAUUAAAUCAGUAAAAAUUACAAAUAUUUUCCUAGCAAAACCUUAAUUUAUUUGUUGAGCAUAUUAGUAUCCAUUUGAUUUAUUUAUUUUUAAAUAUGCAAGUUUUGUUUAGUUUUAUAGUACUUAUGACAACCCAAAAAUAUUUUAAUUACAAUACUCAAAUUGAUAGUUGAAAUGAUGAUGAAAAUUAGAUAGAAUAAAAUAGUUCACGCUUAAUAUUUUGUUCAAAUAUAGGAUACAUUAGAGGUGAUUAUGGGUCGGGUUUGGGCCAGUUGAGACAAAAUUAGGCCAGUUCCCGAGCCCUAAAUAUGGGCCUAAAAAUUUGUUCAAGCCCAGCCCAAAAGAAAAUUGCUAAGCUGAGCCCGACCCUGCCCAGCCCAUAUUAAAUUUUACAACACCAAAAUAGCAUAAAAAACUUGCAAUAUAUAUAUUUUAUUAAAAAUAAAAAAUAUAUUUAAUAUAUAAUUCGGACCAGGCUUUGGCCAAAAAAGUUUUACCCGAAGCCCGGCCCGUUUUCUAAAAUUUCCAAUUUAUGUAGGUAUACUUCCCUCCAAGGAGUUGCUCGACAAUGAUAAAAACUUCAAAUCUUUGCACUUGAAUAAACUAUUUGGAAUUCUACCGGAAAUUUGAUUCCAACUCAAGCCCAACCUUUCUAGUUUUGACAAAUUGCCUAGAGUAAGAUAACACCAAUGAAGUUGUUAAGGUACAGAGACAAUCUUUGAAGUUUACUGAAGCAACCAAACCAUGAUGGGAUUUCUCCAUUGAAGCUAUUGUUACCAAAGUCCAAAUACUUCAUCCGACGUAAAUUGGUUAACUCAAUGGGUAAAGAGCCAUGGAAACUAUUUUGAUGAAUGUCGAGCCAAGCAAGGAAAGAUAGAUUUCCCAAUUGAGAAGAAAUGGUGCCUGUGAGAUCCAUGCUUGAUAAAUUCAGAGCAGUGACUCUAUGGUGUCUAGAUCCACAUGUGACACCAAUCCAGCUACAAACGGAGGUAGAAGUAGACCAAUUGGUUGCCAAGAAAUUGUAAGGAUCAUGAGUUAUAUGAGAUUUGAGUGCUAGAAAAGCAGAUUGAUCAACGGUGAUGCUAGAAUAUUUUGCAGACAAAAUAACCCCAAAGGUUGCGAAUAGCAGCCCAAACAUAAACGGAGGGAGGAAGACGGUGAUAGUCUCCAAGAGAAAGAGACAAGCAAGGAGGGUGAAGGCAAAGUGGCAAACAAUACAUUCAUUACAUAUUUAUUGUUGCAUAUCUCAUUUUAUUUACUGUCACUAGACACUUUUUAUAUAUAUAAAUUAUUAAAUAUUAAAUUUCAUAUAUAAAAAAAAUCCACAUAUUACUUAUUUUAUUAAUACAUAAAAGUAAACCGUUUAGAUGAUUUCAAGUUAAAAAAACAAUAUAUUUUAGAUUUUAUGUGGAUUCUUUUUAAGUUCAAUUUUCAAAUUAUUCAGAUUUCCAUCAUCAAAGUUGAAUAGUUUGUAAUUCAAAUUAUUGCUCUCUUUUUACUUGUACCAAUAUUUCCUAUAUUUUUCUUAUGUUAAAAUAGUCAAAGUAUUAAAUAUAUAAUUAGUUGUAGAGAAGUCAAAAGCUAAUUAAUAAUAUAUAGGGAUUGCAUAAAUGUAACAACAAAAAGAAAAAAAAAUCAAAGCUACUUAAUGGUUGUAUUUUGUGAGGCUGUGGAAGUUGAAAGAGCAAUAAUUUUAAGCUGUCUAAUGAAAAUAUUAAACUAAAACUUUAGUAAAGUUUAAUUAUAUAUUAUAUUUUAAUAAAAUUACAUAUCUUAAAUCGAAAAAUAAUUUAAUCAAUCAUCUGUAUUAGUUUUGAAGUUCAGGCUUACAUAUAUAGAAUAUAUAUUGAUUGAGUUAGAAAUACUCAAAUUUGUUUCUUAUACUCAAAAUGUUUACACAUGACACAAUAAUAUUCAUAACUUUUUUUAAUGAAAUAAUAUUCAUAACUUCAACUUUAUUUGGAAGAAAAAUUGGAAAUCAAUAAUAUUUGCUAUACACAUGAAUGGAGUGUAUAAAAUGAAUGAUUAGUAGAGUUUAAUAUUAUAUAUAUUUUAAUAUUUAAUAAAAUUACAUCUUUUAAUUCAAAAAGAUAUUUUAAUCAAUCAAUUUUAUUAGUUUUCGAGUUGAGGCUUAUAUAUAUAUAUAAUAUAUAUUAAUUGAGUUAGAAAUAGUACAAAAAGUUGACAUUUUUUAAAAGUAUGAUAAUUUGAAUAGAAGUAACAUAUGCUAAUGUGGAGUAAUUGUUCCAUAUAAUCCUUUUUAUGAUGAAAUCAUUGCUUAAUUUACUUCAUAACUUCUUACAUUUAGACAUAAUAAUGAGGUUUUAAUCUUUUAAGGUAACUUUUAUUUUAUUUACUUAAAAAAUUGCAUAAAUUUAAUUAAAAAAAAGAGAAUAAAAGAAACAUGAAAUUAUACCUGUCAAUUUGUUAUGGUUAAGAUAAAGAAAUUGGAGAGAAGUCAAGUUUCCAAUAACAAGAGGAAUUUCACCUGAAACGUAUAAUUAAAUCGGUCAAAAUUUGUAAAUAUCAUAUUAGUGUCUGUUUCAUUUACCUAUUUUUAAAUAUGUAAGUUUUGUUUAGUCUUAUAGCACUUAUGAUAACCCAAAAAUAUUUUAAUUAUAAUACUCAAAUUAACAAUAAAAAAUAUUUAUGUUUGUGCCAGAAAAAAACACUGCAUAGAUCACAAAAAGGAAAAACUAAAACAUCCAAAAAACACUAAACACAAAAUUCAUAGUUGUAGAGGAGGAUUAGAUACAUUGGUCCCAUAAUAUGUCACUCAAAAUCUCAAAAUCAUCCAACAAAAAGAAAUCAUCACUUUAGUUAAUUAAAUCAAGAACAAAUAAAGUUAUGGAUGAACAAAUAUGGGAAGCAAAGAAAUGUGAUGGAUCAAAAGGGACGGAUAAGCUAAUUUCUGCCAUAAGGUAGAUGGUGAACUUAGGAUGUGGAGUUCCAAUAAACACCUAAACAUACCUAAACUUUUGGCAAUUCAAAUAGAUUAUACUAAUUUUUAAUUACUUAAAAAUAUUGCAUAAAUUUAAUAACAAAAUAGAGAAUAAAAGAAAUAUGAAAUUAUACCUGUCAAAUUGUUAUUGCUAAGAUAAAGAAAUUGGAGAGAAGUCAAGUUUCCAAUAACAAGAGAAAUUUCACCUGAAACGUAUAAUUAAAUCAAUAAAUAUUUGUAAAUAUUUUCCUAGCAAACCCUUAAUUUAUUUGUUGAGCAUAUUAGUGUCUGUUUGAUUUACCUAUUUUUAAAUAUGCAAGUUUUGUUUAGUCUUAUAGUACUUAUGAUAACCCAAAAAUAUUUUAAUUAUAAUACCCAAAAAUUUCAGGCCCAUAUUUUGGGCCGGGCCGAGCCCGAGCCUAGGACGAGGACCAAAAAUUUUUCUAGGCCCAGCCCAAACCUAGCCCGACCCAUGAUCACCUCUAUUGCAUACAAUAUGUUUCCCUAAACUACUUAUUAUUUAUCUCUCGCCACAAAUUAUCAAAAACACAUUUGCAUUUUAAGCCAAACAUUUAUAAUAGUGAUAAGUGCUGUAUUGAUUAAUAAUAUAUAACAACUAAAAAGGGAUUGCAUAAAUGUAACAACAACAAGGAAAAAAAUGAUAUUAUACCUAAUAAGUUGUUAUUAGAAAUAUAAAUAGCUUCGAGAAUGGUCAAGUUUCCAAUAGUUGAUGGGAUUUCACCUAAAAAUAUAAAUAAAUGGGUCAAAAUAAUCAACGGAAUUUCACCUAAAAUAUAAUAAAGAUGAUAUUUUACCUGUAAAGUAGUUAAGACCAAGAUAGAUAUUCGUGAGAGAAAUAAGGUUUCCAAUAAUUGAUGGAAUUUCACCUAAAAUAUAUAAUUAAAAUUAUCAAUUUAUUUCAAAAAAAAACCAAAAUUUAUUAAUUAUUUACCAAAAUAAUACAAAAAAAAAUAAAAAAAUACCAAAAUAUUACAACUUUUUUAUUAUUUACCGAAAUAAUACAAAAAAAAGAGUUAAAAAAAAAUACUGAAGGAGGAAUAGCUUAGAACAUUACAAGCUUAAAAGACCAAUGUAUUUCCUAUUCAAUAAUAUCAACUAUGGCUUAGCAACAACUAAAUCAAGACCUAAACAAUAAGGCAAAUCUAAAAGGGUAAGAAAUAGGUCCAAAUUAUAAUUCAGAACAUAAAUUAAUUUUUAAUGUAAAAUUUAAAUAAAAUUUAAAAUUCUUUUAUUAUCAAAUAAAUUUCUUAAUAAAAUUCUUUUAUUAUCAAAUAAAAUUCUUAAUGAAAAAAUAAAACAUCUAAAAAUAUAUGUCUUAUACCAAGAUUCUUAUAUUUUUCUAAUAUGUCACUUUAGUUAAUUAAAGCAAGAACAAAUAAAGUUAUGGAUGAACAAAUAUGGGAAUCAAAGAAAAACGAUGGAUCAAAAGGGACGAAUAAGCUAAUUUCUGCCAUAAGGUAGAUGGUGAACUUAGGAUGUGGAGUUCCAAUAAACACCUAAACAUACCUAAACUUUUGGCAAUUCAAAUAGAUUAUACUAAUUUUUAAUUACUUAAAAAUAUUGCAUAAAUUUAAUAACAAAAUAGAGAAUAAAAGAAACAUGAAAUUAUACCUGUCAAAUUGUUAUUGCUAAGAUAAAGAAAUUGGAGAGAAGUCAAGUUUCCAAUAACAAGAGGAAUUUCACCUGAAACGUAUAAUUAAAUCAGUAAAUAUUUGUAAAUAUUUUCCUAGCAAACCCUUAAUUUAUUUGUUGAGCAUAUUAGUGUCUGUUUGAUUUACCUAUUUUUGAAUAUGCAAGUUUUGUUUAGUUUUAUAGUAUUAUGCCAACCCAAAAAUAUUUUAAUUACAAUACUCAAAUUUAUAGUUGAAAUGAUGAUGGAAAUUAGAUGAAAAUUUAAAUUUAAAAUGAAAAAUAUAAAAUUAUAAAUAGAUAUAAAUUUUCAUCUAAAACUUGACAUUUUUGAAACCUAAGUUAUAGCAUAAUGUGUAGUUUUUUUCUAUCAUUAUAAAUUAUGUUAAAUUUUGUUGAAUGUAGUGGUGCCAACGAGUUUAAUAUUCAAAUCAUCAUAUUGAUAUUGAGACACUGAAUUAUUGAUAUUUUUCUUAUUCUUAUAUUUUUCUAAUUUUAAAGUAGUUAAAGGAUUAAAUGUGUAAUUAAUUGUUUUUAAGCCAAAAGUAUUAUAGUAAUAUAAAAAGAAAAUAUGAGUAUAUAAAGAAAAUAAAACUAUGAUAUAAAACUAUGUUUUAAAAAGUACUUAUUAGUGCUUAUGAUAACCCAAAAACAUUUUAAUUAUAUAACACUCAAAUUUGAGUGUAGUGGUGCAAACCAGGUUUAAUUACUUCAUAACAUCUUACAUUUUCUAAAUGCAUUAUAAUGACUUCAAUGUUUUAAUCUUUUUAAGGUAACUUUUAUUUUAAUUACUUAAAAAGAUUGUAUAAAUUUAAUAACAAAAAGGAGAAUGAAAGAAACAUGAAAUUGUACCUGUCAAUUUGUUAUUACGAAAAGAAAGCACUCGAAGAGAAGUCAAGUUUCCAAUAACAAGAGGAAUUUCACCUGAAAUAUAUAAUUAAAUGAGUAAAUAUAUAAUUAUUUUUAAUAAUUAUUUUAAGAGUUAAAUAAGGCAAAUCUAAAAUGUAGAAGAAAUAGCUAAUUAGAAGUAGUGUGUGAUUCAAAAGGGUAUAAAGUAGGUCCAAAUUAAAAAUCAAAUCUUAAAAUAAUUUAAUCUAAAAUUUAACUCUUUUCUUAUCACUAAAUAAAUUAACUUUUAGAGAAAUUAGAAGUUUUAAUAAAAUACCUGAAAUAACUGAUUGUUUAUGACUAGGUGAAAAUUAGAUGAAAAAAAAUAUAAUUAAUAAUUUAUAUAGCUAUUAUUGGAAAUCAUCCAUAUUUAUAGAAAGUCAAAGAUAUGAGUAUAAAAAAGAUAUGGGUAUUAGAAAGAUAUGGGUAUCAAAAUCUGAGAUUUAAGACACCAAAAGUGGGAUUGAGAUUUGGCAUAAGAUAAUUGCAAUUUUGAUCCCUGAACUUCAACUAUAAAUAGGCCUAACUAUUUCUCUUCUUCAUCAUCCCAAAUUUGCCAUUCUCUACUUAAGGCAUUGUUUUCUCUCUCUCUUUGUAAAUUCUCACUUGUAUUUUGGAGUGAAAUAUAUUUGGUAGAGCCCGAGGACGUAGGCAAAAUUUGCUGAACCUCGUUAAAUUCUUGUGUUCUUUAUUGUAUUAUUAUGCAUGAAUUGUGAGUGUGAUUGUAGUGAUUUAUUGUGCUAUUAAAUUACGAUUGAGGGAUAUUCUGGCUAGAAAAGACUUGGUACUUAAGCGAUCCUUGUGAUCCACCUCUCUUUCCUGGGAAUUGAAAUUAGUGUGAUUUUUAGUACAAUAAUUUUACUCUUUUACACGCUUCUGCACAAAAAUUGGUAUUAGAGCUAGAUUCGUACUUGGGGAAUACAAUUGUUCACGGCACUGUUCACGUACAGUAGUUGGGAUUGAGGAGAAAAAUGGAAAAGGUAUCGUCAUCAGCAAAGACUAUUGUGACCAAUGCAAAAUUUGAAGUAGAGAAAUUUGAUGGUACCAAUAAUUUUGGUAUGUGGCAAUGUGAGAUCCUAGAUGUCUUAUGUUAGCAAGAGCUGGAUAUAGCCCUUGAAGAAAAACCUGACAAGAGGGAAGACAAGGAGUGGGCUAAAAUUAAUAGACAGACAUGUGGAACAAUUCGUCUAUGUUUGGCCAAAGAGCAGAAGUACUCUGUCAUAAGGGAGACAUCAACGAAGAAGUUGAGGGAUACACUGAAAGAAAAGUUUCUAACAAAAAGUCUUGAAAAUAGGCUUUAUAUGAAAAAGAAACUUUAUCGAUUCACGUAUGUACCCAGUAUGUCGAUGGAUGACCAUGAGAACUCAUUCAAUAAAAUUUUAACAGAUUUGCUAAAUUUGGAUGAGAAAUUUGAAGAUGAAGACAAGGCAUUACUGUUGUUGAAUUAUCUUCUUGAUGAUGAUCAUCUUACCACCACAUUGCUCUAUGGAAGGAUACGAUCACAUUUGAUGCAGUCUGUAGUGCGUUGUAUAGAUCUGAGACUCGAAAGAAAGAUAAAAAAGAUCACAGAGAUACAACUACAGAAGUCUUAACAGUAAGAGGUCGUUCGGACAACAACAAAUCAGGUAGAAGUAGUAAGUCCAAAGGGAGACCUGCCAAAGAUAAAUGUGUUUUUUGUCGUGAGAAAGGGCAUUAGAAAAAGAAUUGUCCUAAGUUACAAAAGGGCAAGGCUAUUUCUGAUGCAUGUGUAGUGGAGUAUGAUGAGGAGUCAGACUUUAGCUUGGUUGGCAUGACAAUGGCAUGUCAUAUAGAUGAGUAGAUUUUGGAUUCGAGAUGUACUUACCAUAUGUGUCCUAAUAAGGACUGGUUUUCUAGUCUUAAAGAACUAGAAGGUGGAGUUGUUUUUAUGGGCAAUGACAGCGUUUGUAAGACAAUGGGAGUAUGUACAAUCCAACUGACGAAUCACGACGGCUCAAUUCAAGUCUUGACAGAUGUUCGCUAUAUACCUAGCUUGAAGAAAAAUCUCAUCUCAUUAGGGGUCCUAGAAUCUAAAGGGCUCACAAUCACUUUGAGAGGGAUUACUAAAGGUAGUAGCUGGGGGGUAUUGACGGUGAUGAAAGGCACAAGAAGGAAUAACCUGUACUAUUUAAAUGGUAGUACAGUUAUUGGAUCAACAUCAACAGUUUCUGUGAAAGAUGCAGAUUCAGAGCCUACCAGGUUAUGGCAUAUGCGAUUGAGACAUGCUGGUGAAAAAGCUUUGUAGAGUUUGGUGAAGCAAGGCUUGUUGAAAGGUGAAAAUUCUUGUAAAUUGGAAUUCUGUGAACAUUGUGCUCUAGGCAAGCAGACGAGGAUAAAAUUUGGUUCAACAAUUCACAAUACAAAAGGAAUUCUGGACUACGUUCACAGUGAUGUGUGGGGACCUACUAAAGUGGCUUCUUUGGUAGGUAUGCACUACUUUGUUACUUUUGUUGAUGAUUAUUCAAGAAAAGUAUGGGUGCAUCUAAUGAAAAGAAAACAAAUGAAGUUUUGGAUGCAUUUCUGAAAUGGAAGAAGGUGGUGGAGACCUAAAUUGGUCAAAAGGUCAAACAACUUCGAUCAGACAAUGGUACUGAUUACAAGAAUGAUCCAUUUCUACAAGUAAGUCAAGAUGAGGGCAUUGUGUGACACUUCACUGUUCGAGAUACACCACAACAGAAUGGGGUGGCAGAACGUAUGAAUCGGACUAUACUGGAGAAAGUUUUAUGUAUGUUGUCCAAUGCUAGAUUGGGCAAGGAAUUUUGGGCUGAGACAGUUACAUAUGCGUGCCAUCUAAUUAACCGGUUGCCAUCAGCUGUAAUAAAUGGAAAAACUCCUAUGGAGAGGUGGGCUGGUAAACCUGCUACUGAUUAUGAUUCUUUACAUGUUUUUGGUUCCACUACAUAUUAUCAUGUAAAAGAAUCUAAGUUAGACCCAAGAGCAAAAAAAAGCAUUAUUCAUGGGUAUAACUGGUGGAGUAAAAGGAUAUUGUCUCUGGUGUCCUGAUACAAGGAAGAUUGUUUUCAGUAGAGAUGUGACUUUUGAUGAAUCAACCAUGAUGAAGAAUAAUGAUUCACAAAAUGAUAACAAAACUAGUGGCACUUUGUAGCAGGUGGAGCUUGAAAAGGUUAAUGAUGAUCCAGCUAAUAUUGAAGGAACAAAUGAUGAAGAAGUUUUGACCCAAGAACUUUUACAGCAACAUGAUUCAAUUGCAUAUAAGAGGCCAAGAAGAGAGGUUCGUAUGCCUGCUCGCUUUGAUGAUAUUGUGGCCUAUGCACUUCCAAUUGCAGAUGAUGAUGUUCCUUCUAUUUAUAUAGAAGCAAGAAGUAACCCUGAUGGUGUAAAGUGGAAGCGAGCUAUGAAUGAAGAAAUGCAGUCUCUUCAUAAAAAUAGGACUUGGGAGUUGGUGACACUACCCAAAGGAAAGAAGGCAAUUGGAUGCAAAUGGGUAUAUGCAAAGAAGGAAGGAUUUCCUGGUAAAAAUGAAGUUCGAUACGAGGCUAGAUUGGUAGCAAAGGGUUACGCUCAGAAAGAAGGAAUAAACUACAAUGAAGUGUUUUCUCCAGUUGUGAAGCAUUCGUCUAUUCAGAUUUUGCUAGCCUUGGUUGCGCAAUAUGAUCUUGAACUAGUUUAGCUUGAUGUGAAGAUCGUAUUUUUACACGGUGAUUUGGAAGAGGAAAUCUAUAUGACUCGGCCAGAAGGAUUCAAGGUUGCUGAUAAAGAAAAUUGGGUUUGUAAACUGACAAAGUCACUUUAUGGAUUGAAACAAUCUCUGAGGCACUGGUACAAGCGAUUUGAUCAGUUCAUGAAAGGGUAAAGGUCCACAAGAAGUAAAUUUGAUCAUUGCGUGUAUUUUCAAAAGCUACAAGAAGGAUUUUUCAUAUACUUGCUUUUAUAUGUUGAUGAUAUGUUGAUAGCAUCUAAGAGUAAAGUUGAAAUUGAGAGAUUGAAGACUCAACUCAACCUUGAGUUUCAGAUGAAAGACCUAGGUGAAACUAAUAAGAUUCUUGGCAUUGAAAUAUGUAGGGAUAAAGCUCAUGGCAGAGUUAGUUUGUCUCAGAAGCAAUAUUUGAAGAAGGUACUAUAGAAGUUUGGCAUGAACGAGCAAACAAAAGCUGUAAGUACCCAGUUGGCUUCUCAUUUCAAGCUUUCUACACAACUAUCUCCUUCGACUAAUACGGAACAAGAAUACAUGUUACAAGUUCCGUAUUCUAAUGCAGUAGGUAGCUUGAUGUAUGCAAUGGUGUGUACAAGACCCGACAUUUCACAGGCAGUUAGUAUAGUGAGCAGGUAUAUGCACAAUCCUGGAAAAGGACAUUGGCAAGCUGUGAAAAGGAUUCUACGGUAUAUUCAGAAUACCAUGGAUAUUGGAUUACUGUUUAAGCAGGAUACUACACUUGGUAAAUGUGUUAUUGGGUAUGUUGAUUCUGAUUAUGCCCAUGAUUUGGUCAAACGAAGAUCAAUCACUGGUUAUGUGUUUACACUUGCUGGAGGACCAAUAAGUUAGAAGUCUACAUUGCAGUCUACAGUUGCAUUGUCAACCACAGAAGUUGAAUACAUAGCUGUAACAGAGGCUGUAAAGAAAGCUAUUUGGUUACAAGGUAUGGUUAAAACCUUGGGAUUGGUUCAGGAGCAUAUUAACGUGUAUUGUGAUAGUCAAAGUGCUAUUCAUUUAGCAAAGAUUCAAGUCUAUCAUGCACGUACAAAACAUAUCGACGUACGUUUCCAUUUUGUGUGGGAAAUUAUUGAUGAGGGGAAAAUUCACCUUCAGAAUAUUAAGACUGCAGAUAAUCCCGCAGAUAUGAUGACCAAGGUGGUGACAACCAUCAAGUUCGAACAUUGUUUGAACUUGAUCAAUAUUCUGCAUGUUUAACAGUUGAAGAAGGCACUAUCAAGUGUUGUUGAUAAAGGCAAAGAGAAUUGUGUGAAUAUAAGAUUAUUCGAAUCAAAUCUUCAAGAUGGAGAUUAUUAGAAAUCAUCCAUAUUUAUAGAAAGUCAAAGAUAUGGGUAUCGGAAAGAUAUGGGUAUCAAAAUCUAAGAUUUAAGGCACCAAAAGUGGGAUUGAGAUUUGGCAUAAGAUAAUUGCAAUUUUGAUCCCUGAACUUCAACUAUAAAUAGGCCUAACCAUUUCUCUUCUUCAUCAUCCCAAAUUUGCCAUUCUCUACUUAAGGCAUUGUUUUCUCUCUCUCUCUCUCUUUGUAAAUUCUCACUUGUAUUUUGGAGUGAAAUAUAUUUGGUAGUGCCCGAGGACGUAGGCAAAAUUUGCUAAACCUCGUUAAAUUCUUGUGUUCUUUAUUGUAUUAUUCUGCAUGAAUUGUGAGUGUGAUUGUAGUGAUUUAUUGUGCUAUUAAAUUGGGAUUGAGGGAUAUUCUGGCUAGGAAAGACCUGGUACUUAAGCGAUCCUUGUGAUCCACCUCUCUUUCCUAGGAAUUGAACUUAGUGUGAUUUUUUAGUACAAUAAUUUUACUCUUUUACACGCUUCCGCACAACAGCUAUUUCUCUCAUUCUAUGGACUAUGGUGGAGCAAAAAUUAAUAAAAAAAAUCAAACGGAUAGAAAUAGCUGAGUUACAAGUUUAUGUUAAUUCAAUAAAUUUAAAAAAAAACACAUUAUUUCCAAAAGGGUAAGAAAUAGGUCCAAAUUAUAAUUCAGAAUAUAAAUUAAUUUAAUGUAAAAUUUAAAUAAAAUUGAAAAUUUUUGUUAUUAUCAAAUUGAAAAAAACACCGAUCAUAAAAAGGAAAAACUAAAACAUCCAAAAAACACUAAACACAAAAUUCAUAGUUAUAGAGGAGGAUUAGAUACAUUGGUCCCAUAAUAUGUCACUCAAAAUCUCAAAAUCUCAAAAUCAUCCAACAAAAAGAAAUCAUCACUUUAGUUAAUUAAAUCAAGAACAAAUAAAGUUAUGGAUGAACAAAUAUGGGAAGCAAAGAAUGAUGAUCACGAGAGAAAUAAGGUUUCCAAUAACAGAUAAAAUUUCACCUAACACAUAUAAUUAAAAUCAUUAAAAUUUACUAACAGAUCUUAAAAUGGUUAUUUUGUGAGGCUGUGGGAGUUGUGUGAAGAAGAAAAAGAGGGAAUGGCAGUGGGUCAAUGCGGGUAGGUAUAAGUCUGAAACAUAUAAUAUCAACUAUGUACUCUGUAAUCAAGGCUAAGAGAAAUAAAGUACUCUAUUUCUUUCCUAUUCAAGAAUAUCAACACAUAAAUAAUAAGGAUAGAAAAAAUAGGUAAUUACAAGUCUUGUGUGAUUCAAAAGGGUAUAAAGUAGGUCCUAAUUAAAAAUCAAACCUUAAAUUAAUUUAAUGUAAAAUUUAACUCUUUUCUUAUCACCAAAUAAAUCUACUUCUAGUAAAUUAGGAGUUUUAAUAAAAUACUUGUAAGAACUGAUUGUUUAUGACUAGGUGUUUUGUUUUCAACAUAUUUGGAAUUAACUUGCCUUAGAAAAACAGUCUCUAUUAUUUUAAGAAUAUUAUAGAAGGGUAGAACUAUGAAAGCGGUUAGUAAAACAUGAGAUGCUAAAAAUAGACACAUGCCAUAAUAGGAAGGAAAAUUAGAAACAAACUCCUAAACCAAAUAAUUGGUUGAUGGCUGAAUUGUCAUGUACGGGGUUGUGGAGGUGACUAUGAGUUUUGAUGUGUUCCUACCUGCUACUAAGGGUAACUCAGGAGUUGCAUUAAAAAUCUGACUUCGUUUGUUUGGCACCAAUUAAAUUGGUUGAUGGCUAGCUCAAUUCACAUAAAUAAUGUAUAUAUACUCUAUGAGUUGCAUUAGUGGUUAUUGUUUAAAGUCCCGCUUCACUAUUUAAAACAACUGUCGAUGGAAAUUAGAUAAAAAUGAAUGACACGAUAACCAGGACUUGUUUACCUUUGAAAUAGUUGUCACCAAGAUCCAAAGUCUCGAGAAAGGUCAAAUUUCCAAUUUCUGUAGGUAUACUUCCCUCCAAGGAGUUGUUAAACAAUGAUAAAAACUUCAGCUCUUUGCACUUGAAUAAACUAUUUGGAAUUCUACCGGUAAUUUGAUUCCCACCCAAGCUCAACCUUUCUAGUUUUGACAAAUUGCCUAGAGUAGAUGGGAUAACACCAACGAAGUUGUUAAGGUACAGAGACAAUCUUUGAAGUUUACUGAAGCAACCAAACCAUGAUGGGAUUUCUCCAUUGAAGCUAUUGUUACCAAAGUCCAAAUAUUUCAUCCGACGCAAAUUAGUUAACUCAAUGGGUAAAGAGCCAUGGAAACUAUUUUGAUGAA
rnacentral:lncRNA from 1 species